UUGGGUGUGGCUUGGUGGUAGAGCACUUGCCUAGCAUGCAUGAGGCCCUGGGUUCCAUCCCCAACACUGAGG
rnacentral:tRNA from 1 species